GUUCUCCAUUGUAAGAUGGAAGAAUUAAUUAAUCUAAUUUCUUUCUGCCAACAGGUUCAUCAACACCUUGAGUCUCCCUGACAGGUCUAGGAAAUCAACGAUCAUUCGAGAUGGCCAAGUCUAAGAAUCACACCAAUCACAACCAGAACAAGAAGCACCACCGCAAUGGCAUCCACAAGCCCAAGUCCCACAGAUAUCCCUCCAUGAAGGGGGUUGACCCCAAGUUCUUGAAGAACCUCAAGUUCUCCAGGAAGCACAACAAGAAGGCCGUCACUAACUAAGCAGCUGUCGAGAACCUCAUGGGACAAACGAGGGUCAGGGCGAGAGACGAGCUGACGAGGCCGAGUGGUGUGCAUGGGUGUGUGUGUGUGUCUGUGUGUGAUGGACAAUACAGAACCUGGUACAUAAAGACCCAAUGAUCA